GCCCACUCGGGCAUCGCAGCGCCGACGACUUCCUGAGGGUCCCCGAAUGGCCGCCAUUGCCCCUCAGGCAGUUCCCAGCUUGGGAGUGAUACCAAUCGCACACUCGCCAGCGCGUUCCUCGUUAGUAUAGUGGUAUGACUGUAGUGUUGACCUGUAAAAAAGACAGACACUGGGAUUCACAGCAAGAAAAAAGGCAAGAGGGACCUGAGCUUAGCAAGCUGAUGAUGCGUUAAGCUGCUUCUGGGCCAGAAUGAGAGCAAUCAUGGUUAAAGUCUUCCCUAAGCCCAUGUCAUCCGCUGCAAAAAGAUGCACACAAGUUAUCACCUGCAAAAAUGAGCCCCCUUGGAUCUACACUGAGCGAAAUACUACAACAGAAAGUGUCCUGGGGAACCCAGAAAAUCAAAAAUACACAAAUGAAAAUGUCAGCGUAUGAUUUAGUCAUUGGUUAAUACCUGUACUUGGUAAUAGGGCACAGAAAACGAGCCCUUUUGACAUGUCUACAAAAUAACCAGUUAUUGGCCAUAGAUCUGCCCCACAAAAUCCACUUUGCCAUUCUAUUUCUCACCCAGAAUU